CAGUCUCCUACGGGAGGCRGCAGUGGGGAAUAUUGCACAAUGGGCGCAAGCCUGAUGCAGCUAUGCCGCGUGUAUGAAGAAGGCCUUAGGGUUGUAAAGUACUUUCAAUAAGGAAGAAGUAAUAAAAUAUAAUAUGUUUUAUUAUUGACGUUACUUAUAAAAGAAGCACCGGCUAACUCCGUGCCAGCAGCCGCGGUAAUACGGAGGGUGCUAGCGUUAAUCGGAAUUACUGGGCGUAAAGAGCACGUAGGCGGUUUAUUAAGUCAGAUGUGAAAUCCCUAAGCUUAACUUAGGAACUGCAUUUGAAACUAAUUUACUUGAGUAUCAUAGAGGGGAGUAGAAUUCCAGGUGUAGCGGUGAAAUGCGUAGAUAUCUGGAGGAAUACCAGUGGCGAAGGCGACUCCCUGGAUGAAUACUGACGCUCAGGUGCGAAAGCAUGGGUAGCAAACAGGAUUAGAUACCCUGGUAGUCCAUGCUGUAAACGAUGUCGACUUGGAGGUUGUAAGCUUGUCUUGUAGCUUCCGUAGCUAACGCGUUAAGUCGACCGCCUGGGGAGUACGACCGCAAGGUUAAAACUCAAAUGAAUUGACGGGGGCCCGCACAAGCGGUGGAGCAUGUNGUUUAAUUCGAUGCAACGCGGGANACCUUACCUGGUCNNGANNNCCANGGAAUUUAUUAGAGAUAUUUUAGUGCCUUCGGGANCCAUGAGACAGGUGCUGCAUGGCUGUCGUCAGCUCGUGUUGUGAAAUGUUGGGUUAAGUCCCGCAACGAGCGCAACCCUUGUCCUUUGUUGCCAACGGUUCGGCCGGGAACACAAAGGAGACUGCNGGUGAUAANCCGGAGGAAGGUGGGGAKGACGUCAAGUCAUCAUGGCCCUUACGACCAGGGCWACACACGUGCUACAAUGGUAUAUACAAAGGGAMGCAUCCUCGCAAGAGUAAGCGGAUCUCAUAAAANAUAWCWUAGUUCGGAWUGGAGUCUGCAACUCGACUCUAUGARGWCGGAAUCGCUAGUAAUCGUAGAUCAGAAUGCUACGGUGAAUACGUUCCCGGGCCUUGUACACACCGCCCGUCACACCAUGGGAGUGGGUUGUAAAAGAAGUAGGUUGCUUAACCUUUUUGGAGAGCGCNNMCCA
rnacentral:rRNA from 1 species